ACCCUAUAAAUAGCUCAAUGUUAGCUAAUGGGAAACUUGUUGUCUUUUAGAAAAAUCAAGUGAUGAGGCUUUAUUUGAUAGUACAGUUGUAGCAAGUUUUGAAGUGUGCCUGAGUGUAUCGGUGCUGUCCUGCUGUGUACUGGAGACAUCCAUUGGAAAAAGACAACCGACAUGUCUCGAACCAUCGUAUUGUUCUUUCUGGCAACGCUCGUGGGUCGGGCCGCAGCCAUGCUCAGCUCACAUGCCCCCUUACAAACGGCAACCCCGGGAAGAACGCGUCUCACAGAUGAUGUCGUAGACGGUAGAUGGUCAGAGCUGUAUUUCCGCACAAUGCCUAAAAUUCAAAUUUAUGGCUAUCGGAGGUUCGCGCCCCAUCUCGGCAAGAUCGCAGCUUGAAUAGCUCGAACAGCUGGUGAAAAGCACUAAUCUCUAUAUGAGCGCAUCUAUGCGAAGCUGAGUUUUUCUAUUGAAGUUCAUCCUCACAACUUCACGAACCUCACUCAGGUUACAUGUCUAUUUUGCGGACAGCUUUCAGAAAAAUAAUUCAACUACGCGCCAUUUUGUACUGUGUGAAUUUUAAUAAAAGCAGACGCCUAAAGAAUCGAAUGGAUCUUGUAAAAAUAAUUGAUUCAAUUUUAUAUCUCGGUUGGCUAAUGGAGAAACAGUAAUAGUAACCUACAUGGACCUCCCCUCAGAGAAGGUGAUCAUAUAGUAUAAUUUUAUUAACUCAUUUAAAUAACUCCGUAAGUAGACGCAGUUAUCGAUAAUUAGUAAAAAAUAAUGUGAACAGACUGUUUAUGAUGGCCAGUCCUCGCGCCAAUACAACAAGCUACAAUCAAACUCAACGAGCUAAAUUAAAUCCCUAAUCAUUAUAUCUUAUCUUGUUUAUCAAAACGAGACAAAUACCUCGAAAGCAGACGAUAUAUUAUUUGUACAACUGUUGAUUCGAGUGUGAACACAUUUGUAGAACCUGUAUUAUGGAAACCAGUUGAAAAUACUAAUAGCCAACAGUUUUUGCAGACGGCUCAAGCUUGACGGCUUGAGCAGAUGUAUUACCGUGCUGUGUGUCAGCAGUAUUUCUAAAACUGUCCGAUAUGUCGACCUUUGCGUCCGUAUGAUGCCUCUUGUUCAAAUUCUUUUGCCACGAAUUUGCCCUACUUCGUUUCUAAUUGACUGACUUUUUUUUCGAAGGAUCUCUACUCGUACAAAUCAAAACGCGGAAUCAUUUAAUCGACAGCACCUAGGUCGUCUCAAGAUAUAUCUCUAAGAGCUCAGGUAAUCGAUGCAAAACCGCGACUAAAGCUGACACACAACGGACCCGUUUCGCAUAAAUCCUAGUGUAGAAUAUUUACAAAUCCAGGUUUUCUUGAUAGACUCAAUAAUUUUCUAAACAUGUGCAAAAUUGGUUAAUUAUAUAUGCAUUUAUUACUUAAUUUAUGUUUACUAGCAGCCAUUCUCUUGAUACACUUACUGGUGGUUCCGGGAGUACGUAUAUUACAAAAUAUUGAUUUGUAUCUAACUGUGCGUCCUGCCAUGAUCCGACUCGCUUAAAUUUGACGUUCAAUAGUAAAAUGAAAUGAAAAUAUUUAUUAUUAUCUAUAUUAUAAGCAUAUCUUGAUGCAAUGCGUCCAUGCAACGCUAGAAAAAAGGACGCUUGCAGCGCAGAUCUAUCUGAAACAGAAGAACUGUAUAACAUUCAAAUCGGUCGCAUCGACUGCAAUGUACUCUAAUAAAUAUUGCUUUUCUCACAUUGUACGCAUUUUCGUUGUAUGGGUGACGAUGAUAUUGAUUACUUGCAAGCAUGAAUUGUUUUUGUGUUUAUGACCUUUAGUUAACUUAUAGACCUGCACCUUUAUUAUUGUUGUUGACUAGUUCGAUGUAAACAUUAAGUGCGCGCUUGUAUGUAAGCUAUGUCUUCUAUGCAGAUUCGAACCCA